UACAGAGGUCUCAAGCGUUGUUCGGAUUCAUUGGGCGUAAAGGGUGCGUAGGCGGCGCGGUAAGUCGGGUGUGAAAUUUCGGAGCUUAACUCCGAAACUGCAUUCGAUACUGCCGUGCUUGAGGACUGGAGAGGAGACUGGAAUUUACGGUGUAGCAGUGAAAUGCGUAGAGAUCGUAAGGAAGACCAGUGGCGAAGGCGGGUCUCUGGACAGUUCCUGACACUGAAGCACGAAGGCCAGGGGAGCAAACGGG
rnacentral:rRNA from 1 species